CUGGGAAUAGUAUAAUUGGUAGUACUUGAGAUUUUGAGUCUCAUGGUGCGGGUUCAACUCCCGGUUUGCCAGG
rnacentral:tRNA from 1 species